rnacentral:siRNA from 1 species
CCGUUAUGUUGUUCAUCAGAA